rnacentral:lncRNA from 1 species
GAUCUUUGUUAACUCAGGUAAAGAAAUAUUAUUCUGUAGGGAAAAAAAUAUGCUAUUGAUUUAUGCUCCUGUAGAAUAUUCUUGAAUUUUGUGUUACGAUCACUGUUUGGCCAUUAUCUUACUAAUGAAAUCAAGAGUAAUUUAUUAAGGCAGGUGUGAGGGGUGAUGGAAAACAAAACAGAAUGAAACCAUGCUGAAGCAUAUUUCACAACAGCUGGCUCUUAACAUGCUAUUACAAUUGUGAUAUAUUACAGAAGAUAUUUAAUUGUGAGAGGCAGAAAAGAUUUUCUUCCCUGAUGUACAGCAUUGAGCAACACAUCAUUCUUUUCUCUUCCUUCAACUGUUAAAGUGCUGAAGAAGAUACCAGCAACAUGGAAAACAGCUCAAGUGAUUUUAGAUCAGGUGAAAUUUUGCACACAAAAAUCUUGUGUCUUGGCUGUGUUUGGGAGAAGAGGGAGCCACCAAAGAAUUUUGCCUUCUCUUCUUCUAUGGACUUGAACUUCUUAUUUGGAGAGGGAUCGUGGAGAAGGCAAGAGAAGGAGAAGCUGGGCUUCACUCACAAGUGCUCUGUGCAUCUUGCAGGACGAUGCCGUGCGCAAGCUGGUAUCUAGACCACUGCUGUGAGGAAGAAGGGAGGUUGAAAGAGAUGGUUUGUCUUCUGUUCUGAGAACCUGGGGCUGCGACUAAUUAGCAGGAGUUUCAGGGAUGUUCUGUUCUCGACUUGGUGUUUCGGAUAAAAAAGUAGAGAAGAAUUGCAGUAGUUGGAGGGAAGAAAUGAAUAGUUACCGGGUACCAAAGCUACUAAAAAACUGUUUAUUUUCUAUAGUCUCUGCACACGUUUAGCAGUGCCUUUCAACCAUCAUUGUUGUUCUCACAUCAAGGAGAUGAGGCCUCGAUAGACUUUUGGCUCAGCUUUUCUGUAGCUCUCCUCACUCUAAGUCUUGAUUACUCAACAAAUAUUAAUGUGAUAUUGUGUAAAUACAUAUAUGGGUCUAUCACUGCUAUUUUACUUCUGAUAAAUUGAGAUAUAGAUCAGAAGAAUCAGCAAAACGCUGUCAUGGGUAAUCCUGAAGCAGAGAUCCAAACAGAGCUCAAAACUCCCAUGUCUCUUUACCGUCCCAAGCUACAAACCAACUUUGUUUUUAAAAAAAUACAAGCUGAGUUUCUGCCAGAGCCAGCAUCAGAAAUUAGCAAUUGCCUUGCAAUACUCUGUUCCAUUGGGACAGUCACAAAUUUGUUAAAACCUAAAAGACAUUGCGUUGUUUUCAGUAACACUUAGAUAGGCUAGAUCAAGGAUCCGGGAAGUUUGUGAAUGUUAACGUUCCCAUCAAUUGUGGAAUUCAGUAGGGAGGAAGGAGUAAAACCUUUUGAGUAGCCCAGCAUCAUAUCUGAAACGAACGUGUCGUGCCGCAAGGCACACGGCAAAGCAGGGCUGGGGCCGCCGAUGCCCAAGUGGAGCGAUCAUAUAAAUGACAGCUCCUGAGCCACCGUGGUGCUACCGCACAGAUGCAGGGCCCAGCCUGUGGGAAAGAGGAAACCAUGACUUAUCUGAACAUAUGGUUUCUUAAUUCAAGUUAAAAUGUCUGAACCCUGUUGCAUCUGGUGCCAUUU